AUUGAACGCUAGCGGGAUGCUUUACACAUGCAAGUCGACCGGAGGGGCGGACGGGUGAGUAAUAUAUCGGAACGUGCGCAGUAGCGGGGGAUAACUACUCGAAAGAGUGGCAAAUCCCGUAUACUCUUUGAGCCGCCGAUGUCGGAUUCGCUUGUUGGUGGGGUAAAGGCUCACCAAGGCAACGAUCCUUAGCUGGUUUGAGAGGACGACCAGCCACACUGGGACUGAGACACGGCCCAGACUCCUACGGGAGGCAGCAGUGGGGAAUUUUGGACAAUGGGGGAAACCCUGAUCCAGCCAUGCCGCGUGUAUGAUGAAGGCCUUCGGGUUGUAAAGUACUUUUGGCAGAGAAGCGGUAUCUGCAGAAUAAGCACCGGCUAACUACGUGCCAGCAGCCGCGGUAAUUC
rnacentral:rRNA from 1 species